AGUAAACUGGGAGGAAACUGGGAUUAAACUGGGAGGGAAAAUGGGGAGUAAGGGCUGAGUAACAGGUGAGUAAAGGGGGAGUAAGGGGUGAGUAAAGGCUGAGUAAAAUGUGAGUAAGGGGUGAGUAAGGGGUGAGGUAAACUGGGAGUAACUGGGAGUAAACUGGGAUUAAACUGGGAGGGAAAACGGGGGAGUAAAGGCUGAGUAAAAGGUGAGUAAAGGGUGAGUAAGGGGUGAGUAAACUGGGAGUAAACUGGGAGUAAGGGCUGAGUAACCCGGGGUGGG